UGUAAUGAAAUAAUACAUACCUAGUAUUUGUGUGAGUUUUCUUUAUACUGUCAUCAUGUGCUUGUAUAACAUCUUUCUCCAUUUCAUUUGUGGUCCUUAAAAAUCUGAGUAUGUUUGUCUGCUCGUGGAAGCUGACAGGAGGGCUUGAGCCAGCUGUAUUGUACAGUGCUUGUUUUCCAACUGAUUGGUGCAGCUGCAAGGAAGUGUCCAAAUACAUCUAGAUGUGCUUGCCUAAAGUGAUUUCAGCAUUACCUAUAGCCAGCAGGACCUCUGCGUGCCUAAUUUUACCAAAACAUCAGCACAAAACCUACUGGUUUUCAAUUACAUACAGUGUUGUGGAAAUUAGCUACCAUGUUUUACUUAAGAUAUUCUGUCUCUUUUUUAAUCUACGUUAUGGUGUAGAUGGACGUAUUGGAAAAAAACGAAUACAAAAUGUUUGUUUUUGUAUCUCUGUAGUUACCCCUAUGGGUUCAAGCAGCAAUCAACCUCAAGAAAUUGAAGAGGGCGAAGCUGGGUUUGCUCUGUUAUUUCCCAAAAUCGAUGGGGUGAAAAUUCAUACUUUCCAUUUUUCUAAAGACUCAAAAAACAGGGUCUUCGAUGAAAGUAAAUUUGCUGAAGCAGUGUUUGUGGUGCUGUUCCUAGGUCUGAAGAAUAACCCAGAUCUUCGGGUGGUUCUUCUGUUCGGAUACAACUCCUGGAAGUCUGGAGCAACUCGAUUUCUCCACCAAAUAGUCAAUCCUUUGAACGAGAAAAGUAUCAUCCUGGCUGGGGGACAAGUGGAGAGCUUUACAUCACUGACCUCUGAGAACAGCAGUGCCCAGCCUGGUGAUGCCUGCGGUGUGGUUGGGCUGGCCUUUAGCGGCCCCCAGAUUCAGAGUGCCACUGUUCUGUUGGACCAGGAUGUUGCUGACGAGAGGACAGCAGAAGCCGCCAUGCAACGUCUCAAAGCAGCAAACAUCCCUGAGCACAACACCAUUGGCUUUAUGUUCGCCUGUGUUGGCAGAGGAUACCGCCAUUAUAAAACCAAAAGGAAUAUGGAAGCAGAUGCAUUUAGAAAGUUUUUUCCAAACGUUCCUCUCUUUGGUUUUUUUGGACAUGGGGAAAUAGGAUGCGACCGAAUAGUUACUGGGAAUUUUGUAUUAAGAGAAUGUAAUGACAUCAAGGAUGACCUGCUUCAUGGUUAUACUACAGUUAUGACUCUUAUUCAUCUUGGUUCAACUAAAGUGAACCAAGUGUAAAUACAUUUUUAAUGCUUUAGUAAGCUGUUUCUUUCAUUCCAGAAAGCUGAGAAGUCUGGAAGAGUGGACACAUUGCAGUUAAAGCCCCUUCCAAAAUGUAAACAUCAUUUUGGUGAUAUUACUGAACAUUGUAGUUGGAAUAGAGUUUAACACCAUAGCAGCAAGAAAGCUUUGUCUUCUGUGUAACCCCCUCUGUGUGUCAGAAUUGCAGAGCUGUUAAACAAGACUUGUGCUUUAGAGUGUUUUCCUGUGCUUUUACAUCAGCCACCUGUUUGGAUAGCUGCAGCUGGAAUGCAGUGUACUGGAAGUUCAAGUAAGUAAAUUCAGGUUAGUGUUAGUAUAGCUAAUAAUAUAUUUGUUCCCUUUUAAAUUCAUUUCUCCGUUUUAUUUUCACUUGUACAAGAAAAUAAGAUAAGUUUUGCACCAUUUCACCACAGUUCUAAGUGUUACAUCAGUCAGCUGGUCUGGUGUUAGAUGUACCCAUCAGGGCUGUAGCUGGCAAUGUUUUGCCCUUGUCUAGGUAAAACUUUUCCUGAACUUGGAACCAGCAAGCUAAAGUAAAGAUGUAUUUGUUCUUGCAGUUUACUGCUGGUUUCAGUGGGUGCUGAGCACAGGCAGCACUUUCCCAUGGCUGUGUUGACAAUGUUGUUGUUGUUUUGUGUUUUUUUUAACUAGAGAGAAGAUGAGCUGUGAACUCCCAGUGGCCUUCUAGGGAUAGUGAUGUGACUUCAAACGUAGUUGCUGCAUUUAGAAGGAAAAGUGUUUGGAAAUGGAAUAUGCUUGAAUUUUGGGAGAAGCCUUUUAAUGGGAAGGGAAUACAUGUUUUUUUUUAGCAUUACAGAAUGUUGUGCUUGGCCCUUUCUGUCUGCAUAAGUGAUGUGUUUAACAGGAGGUGAGGAGCAAAUUUGAUUUCUCGUACACAGACAGGAUUCUUGUGACUGUUAGCAUGAGUUAGGGCUAGCCUGCAUAGCUACUGGCACAAGCCUAUGAGCUUUGACUUUUUGCUGUAGUAGAAGCAGAUGAAGUGUGACCAACCAUGUACUGAACAACAGUGCAAAUGUGUCCCGAAGCAUCUGAAGAAGCAGAUGGUGAGUUCUGGCGAUGGCUCAGCAGAACAGGAGAUGAGGUUGUGGUUGUAAGAGGCUAAUGAUCAAUGAAGUCCUGUUGCUGCGGACCCUUAAGUGAUAGACACAGUACAGAAAGGAUGCCGGGGGACGGGACCCCCAAAGUCUGCACAAGAGUCCAGAAUCAUCCCUUUGACCUUCGGAAGUGGGGAUGACUCCAAGGGAUCCCAGAACCAUGCAGUGCAUGGCUGGCAGUGCUGUGCUGUGCCAUCCAUGCCAUAUUUUCUAACUGACAAGGAAGUAGGGUAAUGGAUAAAAUUGCAACAUCUGUGAUUAAAGUGUUUUGGUGUCCAGAUUCAUUUUGCCUCCACAGUGUCAUUUGCU